AGCUUGCUACCUGACCUAGCGGCGGACGGGUGAGUAAUGCUUAGGAAUCUGCCUAUUAGUGGGGGACAACAUUCCGAAAGGAAUGCUAAUACCGCAUACGCCCUACGGGGGAAAGCAGGGGAUCUUCGGACCUUGCGCUAAUAGAUGAGCCUAAGUCAGAUUAGCUAGUUGGUGGGGUAAAGGCCUACCAAGGCGACGAUCUGUAGCGGGUCUGAGAGGAUGAUCCGCCACACUGGGACUGAGACACGGCCCAGACUCCUACGGGAGGCAGCAGUGGGGAAUAUUGGACAAUGGGCGAAAGCCUGAUCCAGCCAUGCCGCGUGUGUGAAGAAGGCCUUUUGGUUGUAAAGCACUUUAAGCGAGGAGGAGGCUACUUGGAUUAAUACUCUAGGAUAGUGGACGUUACUCGCAGAAUAAGCACCGGCUAACUCUGUGCCAGCAGCCGCGGUAAUACAGAGGGUGCGAGCGUUAAUCGGAUUUACUGGGCGUAAAGCGUGCGUAGGCGGCUUUUUAAGUCGGAUGUGAAAUCCNUGAGCUUAACUUAGGAAUUGCAUUCGAUACUGGGAAGCUAGAGUAUGGGAGAGGAUGGUAGAAUUCCAGGUGUAGCGGUGAAAUGCGUAGAGAUCUGGAGGAAUACCGAUGGCGAAGGCAGCCAUCUGGCCUAAUACUGACGCUGAGGUACGAAAGCAUGGGGAGCAAACAGGAUUAGAUACCCUGGUAGUCCAUGCCGUAAACGAUGUCUACUAGCCGUUGGGGCCUUUGAGGCUUUAGUGGCGCAGCUAACGCGAUAAGUAGACCGCCUGGGGAGUACGGUCGCAAGACUAAAACUCAAAUGAAUUGACGGGGGCCCGCACAAGCGGUGGAGCAUGUGGUUUAAUUCGAUGCAACGCGAAGAACCUUACCUGGUCUUGACAUAGUAAGAACUUUCCAGAGAUGGAUUGGUGCCUUCGGGAACUUACAUACAGGUGCUGCAUGGCUGUCGUCAGCUCGUGUCGUGAGAUGUUGGGUUAAGUCCCGCAACGAGCGCAACCCUUUUCCUUAUUUGCCAGCGAGUAAUGUCGGGAACUUUAAGGAUACUGCCAGUGACAAACUGGAGGAAGGCGGGGACGACGUCAAGUCAUCAUGGCCCUUACGACCAGGGCUACACACGUGCUACAAUGGUCGGUACAAAGGGUUGCUACCUAGCGAUAGGAUGCUAAUCUCAAAAAGCCGAUCGUAGUCCGGAUUGGAGUCUGCAACUCGACUCCAUGAAGUCG
rnacentral:rRNA from 1 species